rnacentral:rRNA from 1 species
UACGUAGGAUGCUAGCGUUGUCCGGAUUUACUGGGCGUAAAGCGCGCGCAGGCGGCACUGUAAGUAAGGUGUGAAAUAUCCCUGCUCAACGGGGAGGGUGCACUUUAGACUGCAGAGCUAGAGGACGGUAGAGGGGGGUGGAAUUGCUGGUGUAGCGGUGAAAUGCGUAGAGAUCAGCAGGAACACCCGUGGCGAAGGCGGCCCCCUGGGCCGAACCUGACGCUGAGGCGCGAAAGCGUGGGGAGCAAACAGG